rnacentral:lncRNA from 1 species
AAUCUAUUGUUGGUUGUCGUUGGGUGUAUGCAGUCAAGGUUGUUCCAGAUGGUAAGGUUGAUCGUCUUAAGGCUCGUCUUGUUUCCAAGGGAUAUACUCAGAUAUAUGGGCUUGAUUACAGUGAUACCUUCUCUCCCGUGGCUAAGAUAGCAUCAGUCUUCCUUUUUCUCUCUAUGGCUGCUGUUCGCCAUUGGCCUCUGUAUCAGCUGGACAUUAAUAAUGCAUUUUUACACGGUGACCUUGAGGAUGAAGUUUAUAUGGAGCAACCACCUGGGUUUGUUGCUCAGGGGGAGUCUCGUGGCCUUGUAUGUGUUGUUCCAGAUGGUAAGGUUGAUCGUCUUAAGGCUCGUCUUGUUUCCAAGGGAUAUACUCAGAUAUAUGGGCUUGAUUACAGUGAUACCUUCUCUCCCGUGGCUAAGAUAGCAUCAGUCCGCAUUUUUCUAUCCAUGGCUGUUGUUCGCCAUUGGCCACUCUAUCAGCUGGACAUUAAAAUGCAUUUUUACACGGUGACCUUGAGGAUGAAGUUUAUAUGGAGCAACCACCUGGGUUUGUUGCUCAGGGGGAGUCUCGUGGCCUUGUAUGUCGCUNNNN